rnacentral:tRNA from 2 species
GUCUCCAUAGCUAAGUGGUAUAGCGUGCGAUUGCAAUGGUUGCUAUUAUCGCGAGGUCCCGUGUUCGAACCACGGUGGGGACU